CCUGCAGAGCGACGGGCAGCAGCCAAUCCUCCUCACCAUGAUUCUCCUCCUGCAGUACUUCUUCCUGCUGGCCAUAGACCUGGUGCUGGCCAUGACCCUCUUGUGCCUCUUCUACGCCUUCGCGUGCGCCUCCGUCGCGUUGCUGACCUGCUGCGCCAUCGUCUUCUCCUUCGGCAGCGCCGAGAGGAGCGCCGACGUCAAAGGGAGAGCCAUCGUCAUUCUCGUGUCCAACAGCUCCAUCGGCAGGAUGUUUGCAAGGAACCUGGACAAAGCAGGCUUCGGGGUGUCUGCGGCUCAGUGGUCUGCCCGGGAGGAGAGGACAGCGACACAAGAGUGCCCAUCCAACAAGCAGGUAGCCCAGCUGCACCUGACCGAAGAUGAGUAUCAGAAGACAGUGAAAACCUUCAUAGAAAGCCACUUAUCCCUGAAAGGGGAAAGAGCCUGCUUUGGUGGCUGUGAAAGGCCCCAGCAGACCCCAGUCCCUGAAGGAAGGCAAGGUAGGCCAAGGAAGGAGGGGGAGAAGGUCCUAUCAAGGCACAGAGGGCUGGACUUGCUCUGAGAAGAAAACACAGAAACGAACAAUGGGGAGCAAAGCCUAGACAGUGACCUGAGGUGAAGGAAUGUGUCUGAUGUUUAACCUCUUCUGGAUUAAAAAGGAACCCAGCUGAGCUCCCUCUUGGCUUCCUGGCUGCUGUGGGAUUCCUAAGAGUCAGGCCCUGCAAAGGAAGGACAUGUUGGAGGUCAGAGCACGCCCAGGAAGGCUCCAGCACUGCAGACGCCCUUGGAGGGGCGGUAGGGACCCCUGGCUGCCCCUGCAGCUGCUCAGGACACAGCUCCCUGCAGUGCCCUUCUCUCAGCAGCCCAGCACCAGCAGUGCCUCUGCAGCUCUGCGUGGCCCAGGAUGCACCCCGAGCUCACUGCCUGCGUGCAGGCUCCACAGAUGGCUCCCUGCACGCCAGCAGUGGGCUCCACACCAAGGGCUCAGCUGCCUGCACGAGCAUUUCGGCUCAUUUACCCCAGGAAAAUUACUCUGGUAAAACCUUCUUGUGUGGACAGGGCCUAGAAGCUCCCCAAGCUGAGCAUCAGCAUAAUCCUGCUCUGGAAAUGAACAAUAGAGGCUUUCUUAACCAGUAAUGAUCUGUGGGAGCUGGUGAUUUCUGUGGGCCUGUGCUGUUCUAAUGAAAUGAGGCUCCAGCACAGUGGUACCUGUCUUCUUUUGCUCUUGACUAGUUUGGUCCCCUGCUCGUUAAAGGCUUUUGCUGGUGUCACGUUGUUUUGACAGGGGGAUCUGUCGUAGGAUCCAUGAGGUUUUACAUUUAGGAUCUCCUGCAUAAUAUUCACAUCACAGAUGUGGAUGUUGAAAUGUAUUUCCCAAGUGCUGACCCAAUUGCAUGGCAGAUCAAAGCAGUAAGUUGGGAGGGAAAAGAAAAAGAAAAAUAAGAGAAAAAUAAAAAGAGAAAGAAAACCUCACUGUUUUCUUGGGUUUCUUUGUUUUCAGUUUUGAGUGAGUGCUGAUAUUCAUUUUGCAAAAUUUACCGUGGUAUCUUUGGCAUGGGUUAGGUGAACAUGAACACUCACCACCAAUAAUAAUGAAAGAAUUUAAACCAAAUCUAAAGUCUACAUUGGUGGGUCCCCACAUGCAGUUUGGUGAGCAGGAUCUGGACAAGGGCAGGAGAGUUAGUGCUGUAGGGCAGAACCAUUACACAAUCUUCGCUAUUUAGAAACUUCUCUUAUGUACUUUGUGCAUGCAAUUUUUAGUUCCUAAAGAAAGGAACCUUUGCUAGUUUUUUUAUGGGUUUUGGUCUUUUUUUUUCAUUACUUGUCCCUAUAGGACAUUUUUACCAUUGUAUCUUUGCUAUUGUAAAUAAAAAUAUACUUGCUCUAUAUAAUCAAAUCUUUUAAAAUUCAUCCUAAAUGCCUUUCAAGGUAACACAGUGAAGACAGAAUCCCCCAGCCAUAGCUGCUUCUAGAAUUAAAAUAGUUAUGAUAGCUAAGAUAAUCUACUUUUCAUUCUAGUACAGGCCCAGCAACCCAAAUUUUCAGGAAGGCUAGCACCUUUAUUUUGCAGUGACUGUACAAGUUAAUAAGAUGCUACCAGGCCUAAAGAGAAUGUAACAGAGAAAUGCAAGCCAGCCCCCUUCCAAAUUCUUCCUUUGCUGUGUGACAGCUUAGCUCAGUUCAUAAAAAGCCUUUAGAGCUUCUGGCUUUUAGCCUUUGGUGCCUUUAGAUCAGAUAUUCAAACUUUCUCUGUGACCAAGAGGUCAAAGAGACAGAGGGAAGAAGAUGAGAGAAGGAGUUUGAUUGCUCACCUCCAGCAGCUGAGCCUGCACUGUCAGAUAUUGCAAGAGCCCCUGGCAUGGUGUCCAAGCCCUGUGUGAUCUGCUGCUGGUGAAACUGCUGUGCUGUGCUGCUCUGGGCAGGUGCCUGCAAACACUGGCAGCUGCCUCACCAGCCUCAGGAGGGACUGCAGCGAGGGUGGGGCAGGGCAAGGAGGAAAGAAACAGGGAUGGGCAGAGCCCAGAGACAGCCCCCUGACCUGACUCACAGAGCUCAGAGAAGCAGAGGGCUCCCCUGUUACCUGCUGGAGCCCCUGCUGUCACAGCUCCUGGGGUCCACCUGUCACACACAACAGCCACAGGCUGGGCAAAGCCAGCACUGCCUGGGCACAGCAUCACACAGCUGGCUGCUUGUGCGGGGCCUUAAAGGCCAUCUAGGGCCAGCCCCAAUGGGCAGGGACACCUUCCACUAGACCUGGCUGCUCAAAGCCCAUCCAGCCUGGCCCUGAACACUUCCAGGGAUGGGGCAUCCUCUGUAAUUCCCCAGGUUCCCACAGGAGAGAUAAUCCUUGAUGUGAGCAAUGCCUCACACUGCACAGCCUUCCUUGCUUCGCUCAGAUCUCUGCUAUGCUGAGGCUGCUUACACAGUUCUGUUGGUUUUCACUGCGUCAGGAUUUCAUAUCUUGUACCUGGACCUCAGAUAACACCUGACAACUGCUGGGUUCUUUGGUGCUUACCAUCUUCCAUCUCUGUCCCUGUCUCUCAAACAGGAAGGACAAUAACUUCUGCACAAGCAGAGAAAUAACUGAUGCAAAUUAAUAACAUUAAUUCCUAAAUAAACACUCUCACCACCACACUGCACCGUGGUUUCCAGACCAGUAGCAAAUACAUGUUCCAAGCCUUGCUCUGCAGGCUCCAAAGGGCUGGAAAGACAGCCUGUGCAGACAGCCAGGCCAGUGGGAGUUAUUGGACUGUCAUCCUUGGCCAUCUGUCCCCAUUUCCAUGUUGCUGUUGGCAAAGCAGCUCUCAUGACCUCUCCCUGAGUGAGUGCAGAUCACCUUAUCAUGGGAUCAGUUUAAAUAGGUGUGCUAAGCCCUGUUAAUGCAGCUCAUUACUUUCCUCUGUGCGCCGUGGGACACUGAUGCAAUCUCUGAGCAGGGCUGCGAGGGCAGGCAGGCCAGCCUGGGCAGGCACAGCUGCUCCUGGUGAGGAGGGUCAGGGACACACUGACACACAGUCAGUGGCUGCAGGGUGCCAGCAGCCCCCUGGCUCCUUGGGCAGUCUCCACCUGUCCCAGAGGUCAGGCUGCUUUUGCACCUCUGCUGUGCAGCAGGCAGCAGUGGUAGAUGCUCUCCUGGUACUUCCCCUUGCCUUGCACCUCUCCUUCAGCAUUCCCAGACUUUAGCUGACUACAGUUUGGUCCAGAAUGGCUCUCUUGGGACACAGACCCAAAGAAAGACCCUACAGUGAACCUGAACAGGAGACAGAGACAUCAGAACUGCUGCCUUGUAUGGUGUUCACACUGUAGAAGCUCUUCUCUUCCUAAGGAUGCCAGGGUGGUUGAUGAUGUUAUUUUAUCAGAAGGUAACCCUUACUCACUGUCCAUGCUGUGCUUUCCUUAGGACAAAGGCAAGGCCACCCAGCCAUUCCUACUCUCAGAGCAGAGAGAAAGCCCAGCUUUCUUGUGGAACAGCCUAGCUUAGUGCAUGGCACGAGCAGCCGUUCCCACAGCCUCAGAGAUGGAUUGAACAGAUGCAAUAAUCAUUCACUGCAAUAAACUACAAGGGAGUAGGAAUGAAUAAAGCAAACAAAAUCAUAUACUCAUGCAAUUUUAAAGAGUACUGCAUUAUUUAACUUCACUCAGCUACAACAACUGCAGGCCACCUUGGAUAAAUCAGCCCAUUUUCCAAGCUGUAAAUGACCACGUUUGGACUUAGGAAUGAAAUGAAUAAUUUUUGCAGCUAUGCUUUUGUGCCUUUAAUGGAGGUUACCCAGAAGUUUUUGAAAAACUGGCUUGCAAUUAUAUUGCCUUCCUGUCUCUUGGGGAUUUAUCAAAACCAGAGAAGCACUUUGAUACAGCAGCAUCAGGGCUAUGAAACAGCCCAGAGAGAGAAAACAGAUCUCAUUGUGAAACUAUAGGCUGGGAGGAGUUAUUUUAAGAUGAAAGGGAGUUCCCCACUCAAAGCAUCUUUUUAAAAAUAGGAGUCUGUGCAUCAUCUAGAGUCAAGGUGUCUUUUUCUUUUUCCAAAGGAAGCCCUGCAUCCAGUAACUCUGGGCACUUUAUGGGAGGCAAUUCCCACUUCCUUAAAGUGGUUUUGUAUUCUCCUGUUCCAACAGACAAGUUUCCCACCAAGCACUGAGCUCCAGGGCCAUGCACAUAGACCCUCCUGAUUAAAGGGUUGCACAAGCCAGGAAAGCUGCAGCAACACUUCCCCCUCAUCCCCAUCCCUCGCUCAUUGCCAGUGGGCAGAGCCCAUUUGGGUUCAAAACCUCCAUCCCAAAGCUUUGUUUUUUUGCAUGUUGGUGGCCAGAGGACCACUGCUGGCAAACCAAGACCUUUAAGCAAUGAUUACAAGUGCCUGUUGGCCUGCCCUACGUUACAAAGAGGGUUGUUUAUCUGGGUGCACUCAGAACACAUUGCCAUGCUCGCCACUAACACCAGCCACGAGGACAAGACGCAAAGAGGAGGAGGGGAAAGAGCCACGCACUGCCAAGGCCUUUUUUAUCAUUCUUCUAAAUUUGCUGUUUGCAGACAGGAACAGAAGUGGAGCAUUUCCCAAAAAGAAACCAAACAAAGCCCAGGCGGUUGGAUACUUAUGUUACACUGGCUCCUAAAUUCUGCCAGAGCCAUUUUUAGCAUCCUAAAACAGUACCCUCUUCACACUGCCCCCGCUUAGCUCAUGUGAAUUUUAGUCCUAAACCACAAGUUUAUCUUACAACAAGAUUACAACAAGACAAGAGUUUGAUUUCCAAGCUGCAUCAAUCAUUACACCACACAAGACUGAAGAGUAUUUUUAGAGACUGCCAAAAAGAGAUCUAUAUUUAUGAUAUGUCAUUCUUUAAACAAGUGAUCAACUCCUUUUCAUGCAACUGCAGUGGCAGGAUUGGAGAUCUUGCAAAGGAAAAUAAACCCAAAGUAUCUGGGAAGCUAUUUAUUUAUCACUUAUGCAUGAUGCUAAACUAAUCUCUGAUUCUGGAAGCCAUUGGAAAUAAUCACAGGUGUAACAUAACCUUUACACUAAUUUAAGAACUUCCCAGACAAGAGCUUAGCUUUGCAGUUUAGAGAUGUUGUCUUUCAUUAACCAGAGCUGGACAGCUUCUGAUGAGAAAUUAUUUUUGAAAAAUACGAGGAUUGAAGCCCAAAGAGUUGUACAGAUCUGUGUCUUUUCCAAAUAAUGCAGUUUGCCAAAGUGUGUGUGUGCACCUGGAUGCUUUUACUCUACCCCUUACCUCAGUCCUUCAGAAAAGCUUUCUAGAGGUCAGUUUUAACAGGGAAAGGGAAUCAAGUGAGAGAAAAUAUUUCUGCAGCUCUGCUUUCCAUAUUACAGUGUUUGGAGACAGAAACCUGCUGAACAGUUCUAACACAUAUGCUCAGAGACUUAAUUUGAAUUAUGUGGUAAAACUGAAUGUGCAUAAAAAUGGAACACUUCUGUAUAUGAUAAUUGGAACACUUCUGUAUAUGAUAAUUGGAGCACUUCUGUAGAUGAUAAUUAAAU